UGGAGAUCUUCAACCUGAAGGUUCACAUAGAAGGUUAUAAGAUCACUGAAGAAUCAAAGGAGAGGCUGGAGAUCGCACUCGGCUGGUAAAUGUGGUCGUGGAACACAGGAUAAUACAGAUGCUAUUGGGAAGAAGCUGAGUAAGGCCAUUAAGGAGAGAAGAAAGGCUGGUGGCCGUGACGGUGGAGAGCUGGGGCACAGGCGGCUGCAGGCCAAGGUGAAGAGGAAUGGAAUGGAGAUGGAAUAGAGCAAAGAGGUGAAUGGAGAAUGUCUGGAGCCCAGCAGAAUUUGAGGUCUGAUGGAGAGAAGCAGCUACAGAAGACCAGGCUGGCCACCAGCCCAACUUUCAUUCACUAUGUGAGGGGGUAGGAAAGCCACGUAACAUGCCUUCCGGCCGUGGGUGACUGCUGGAGCAGCAGACGGUGGCCCAGGCCCCUGCAGCGACAGCAGCAGCAUGCUCGGGGUGAUCUGUCAUG